rnacentral:rRNA from 1 species
AAGGGGAAUUCGCCCUUAGAGUUUGAUUAUGGCUCAGAUUGAACGCUGGCGGCAUGCCUUACACAUGCAAGUCGAACGGCAGCACGGGAGCAAUCCUGGUGGCGAGUGGCGAACGGGUGAGUAAUGUAUCGGAACGUACCUUUCAGUGGGGGAUAACGUAGCGAAAGUUACGCUAAUACCGCAUAUUCUGUGAGCAGGAAAGCAGGGGAUCGCAAGACCUUGCGCUGAUUGAGCGGCCGAUAUCAAUUAGCUAGUUGGUGAGGUAAAGGCUCACCAAGGCGACGAUCUGUAGCGGGUCUGAGAGGAUGAUCCGCCACACUGGAACUGAGACACGGUCCAGACUCCUACGGGAGGCAGCAGUGGGGAAUUUUGGACAAUGGGCGCAAGCCUGAUCCAGCAAUGCCGCGUGCAGGAAGAAGGCCUUCGGGUUGUAAACUGCUUUUGUCAGGGAAGAAAUCCUCUGGGUUAAUACCUCGGGGGGAUGACGGUACCUGAAGAAUAAGCACCGGCUAACUACGUGCCAGCAGCCGCGGUAAUACA